UGACCUUUACCAUCCCCUUCUUUUCCUAUGAUCCCUCACCUCACCUUUGUUGUGCACCCUCGCCUUCCCCUUUUCCCUCUCACUUUCUGUGGUCACGUGCGACCACCAUUUCUCAAAACUUUUCUUCUCAUUGCCAUGUGCAACCAACCCCAACGUCGUGCAAGACCUCCACGCUAACACCGUGCACGACCUCCACCUUAACGCCAUCCACGAUUUCUACCCUAACGUCGUGCACGACUUCUACCCUAUCGUGCACGACUUCUACCCUAUCACUGUGCGUGACAACUCCCGCACGCCACCAUUGUCAUGCGCCACACUUCUCUUGCCACUGCUGAGCAACUCCAUUGCCGUGCGCCCAUCUCACGGCUCCAUCCCAAUUGUAACCUCUCUUCCUCGCCACCAUCUUCUCCUCCACCACACUUCCAUCCGGUCGUCUUUCGCUACCUCAUGCAGCCAUGAUCACCACUCUGCUGCCACCAUCUCUCAUAUGCAGCCUCCAUCCUUGUUCCGCCUCCUUCCACUUAAUUUCUCAGCCAAUAAGCAGCUCGAGCCACCACCUUCCUCGUCUCUCUUCUGUCGUGCUCAAUCCCGCUGCCUGUAACCACCACUCACCUUCCUCCUCUCUAUCUGCCACCUUUGCAACUCUUCAUCACCUUGCUACUCCCUCUCACUAAAAUCCUUCAACCCCCAUCUAUUCUCACAGCCAUCACUUCACUCUUGUCUCUCUCAAUCACUUGCUACAACCACCACAAUAGCCACCGUCACUACCCAUCUCUACUUCUUGUCGCUGCCACCAAUAGCCCAACGCUUUCUUCCCUCCUCUUCCUCCACUGUCGCCUCACCUCUGCUACUCUCUCCCUUCUUCGUAUUCGCAGCCUCUACAACUAUCAACUUCAGCCAAUUUCAUCCGCCUUUCUCUCUUCUCCAUCCAGCCUGCCAUCUCCGCCAUUUUCCCAUCAUCUCCACUACCCCACAGUGACCUCUCGCUCUCUCCUUGUCGUCUGCCAUUUUUGCCCUCAUUCUAUCCUCUGCAGCCUGCUCUCACCCCAUCACAACCAUCUUGCUGCUCCAACCUCCGCCACCAUCUUCUUUUCCACCUCCAACAGUGAUGCAAGGAGAGAACAAAACUAGAA
rnacentral:lncRNA from 1 species